CUCUUGUCACAUUGUGUUGGGACUGAAAUUGAGACAAACAGAAUAUUUGUAUCAUAGACGCCUCACGCAAAGACCAGAAGCCGAGCGCUUCACCGUGUGACCACUGAGGAUCGGCCCGAGUCAUUAAGUUAUCUGCUACUUCCGUUGUGUUGUGUGCCAUGCGGCGACCGCAAACUGCUUAAAACGGUCAGACCAGCUGAAAUGGGAGCAAUCUGAAAGGGAACACGGAUAGAGAACAUUAACAUGUGUACGUCCUUUCUAUGCACACAAAGGCCCCAGUUUGGUACAAACCCCCUUUUUUGCUCCCCAAUGAUAUACAAAUGACAACAAAUAGCAUUAGGCCCGCUGAAAACAAGGUGCAGGGUGGGGACUGGGACAAUGGGUGGCUUCUGACCCCCCGCGAGAAGAAUUCCAUUUUGGAGCAUUCUUGCCCCCCCCCCCCCCCCCCGCUGCUUAGCAACCAAGCAUUUCAGAAUACUUCAGAGUCUGGCAACCCUGAGCAACAGCUCAUAUUAAACAUUAGCCCGUUAGCCUCCAUUACGUUCUUUACAUUUACCCAAGAAUUUCUUAAACCAGUCUGGAGGGUUUGGGGGAGGGGGGGGGGGGGGCACACACCCAGCUUCUCAUAAAGUCAACUUAAACAGCACAGACGGAACACUUGAAUCCUCUGGUGAAAAAGAUGCAUGGAUGCAAAACCAAAGUUGUCAUCCAUCUACCAUAAUGCAAACACAACAGAGUAUGCAGGACCGAUCCACACUUAGUUGUGUCCCAUGUCCCAAAGUCAGACUAGCACGGUUGAGGCGCAGGCUACAUGGAGGUGUCCCAUGUGGUGGCUGGGCUGAAUAAAACGCCACCGAUCGCUCACCUUGCCUGCACUGUAAAAGCCCGUUAUAUCCCUGCGCGCCACAGUGUCACAUUUCACACGCAAACACCACUGGCUAAGCCCACAUCACACAACAUCCAUCAAGCCAGAUCAGCCUCGGCUCCUCGGCCUCCGCAAGUCAAGACACUCGCUGUUCUCAUUUGACAAAUAUUUUUCACCAACUGUGGCUUCGGCGUUUCGCGUCGGUUUGCUCGGAGGUUGGGCCCCGUCAGCCCGGUUCUCCAGAAUCCACGCGUGGGCGGAACCUCAGGCCCGACGGCAGCUUUUCAGGUUCUUUUUUUUGGUGAGGCCUUUCCCACGCAGAAGACGGCAAUGACCAACUGCUGUGUGUACUUAAGGGGAAACUGUUAACCGGAGGAGGAGGCAGUUCAGUCUCAUCGCACGCUCUUUAAAACGGUACUCCAAGGGCAGUAUGUAUCCAGAUCUCUGCCAGGUCACCAUACAAUACGAUAAUGGGCAACAGUGACAUGCUCCAUUCCCAAUAAAUGAAAGAGAUCCUAACAGAGAAGAGAGGUUUUACAAGGGGACUGGUUCCACUGACCGGGCAAACAUGCAAUGGAUACAAGUCAAAAUGGACAUAUCAGGGAGUAGCUAGCGUUUCAACAUUGUGAAACGACGAAACAUGAGACUAUUGUGUUUUAUAUAUCUAUAUAAAACAACCAUGAAGCCUUGCAGGCAAAUUGCCAAGCAUGCUUUUAUUUAAGCAGAAAUGUCCACUUUCAGGACUGAUUACUGGGAGGGGCGAGGAGUGGUCAACCCAAACUACUUCUGGGCUGAUUACAUAGCUGAUAGCGCUGAAGAUAAACACCAAUGCCCUGACUAACUCAGAAACCUUCCUCACAGCUCAUCUUCCACACACACACACAUGUCUGGGCAAAGCCAUGGGGAACUGCUAAGACUGCAAAAAGUAGAACCUUUCAGGAGUCACGCCAAAAGCCUGUGUGUUCGUUUGACUUGCACCAUAAAACUGAUUUACCAGGUCAAAUGGAUAAAUACUGCAGAGAAGACAACACGGAACUCGUUACAGCAUCGCAUUAAAUCACUCAACAACUGGUUGGUUUUUGUUUCCAUGAGGGGGGUCUCAUCCUGUAUCAGACUAGCUGCCUGCUGGAAAGCCAGAAAUAUCAGAACUCCUGCCACAUCCGCUGGAAAAAGGCAAACACAUUCAUUGCGAUCUACGAGUUGGGAACACCCUCUGGAGCCGCGACCAACUCCUUCCUUUCCAGAGGCCUAACACCCUACCUCCAGGCUUCCACUUCGCAACACUCCUGUUCACACCUGACGCUAUGGCCUAAAGCCAUUGCAAAUUGCUUAUUUUACAGUCUAUGCUUAGGCAAGGAGCAGAGUGGCGGGGCCACCGUUUCAAAUAAAUGUUAAUAAUCUUGAACACUAUAAUAUACCAAGUAUGUGGGACAUAGCAUAUUCAGGUCAUAAUUUUCACUAAACUGUGUGGACACUGCAAGAUAACUGCAACAAGUUAUCUCACAAUUCAAAAGGUCUGAGCCUCGGGUGAAACUGUCACUACAGCUAGGGGGGGGCAACUUCAAACGAAAGGAAAAAAUGACUAGUGAGUCUCUGAAUAAUUCAACCCCUUUGAAAUGGCAGCAGCCACUGAAGAAGAAUUAAAGGUCGCCUUUUGAUCUUUCGUCAGGCACACACACCGGCGCGUUUGAGUUCCUGUGUCUCUAAUACUGCUCUUAAAACAUCUGCUCUUGGAGGCGGCUCCAACACCUGUUGUUGAGCGCACACAGCAUGACUGCAUUUACACCUGAGACAUUGGCCAGGUAUGGACGGAGGAGGAGGAGGAGGGAAAACAACAACAAUGACUAGCUGCACCUGAGCUCCUGACGCUCCCCGGCUCACCUGAGGGAACACACCAGCCAAUGAAGAACACCGCUGACGGAAAGAGGAGGCAUUCUCUUUGUCUUACUCAGAAAGAAAGUGAUUUUUUUUUUUUUUUUUUUUUUUAAACCACACAGGUGUGUUGAGAAAACCACUACACGAAACAUCACGCACACCAUGACAAUUUUGCAAUCUGACUAUACUGGCCUGAAGACAACAAGAAUUCAACAAACUUGUACCCGAUAUCCACAUAUAAUAAUAACAACAACAACCCUCAGAGCUUAGGGUGUCUGGUAACUUAUAACCAUCAGUCAUCCAGAACAUAAUGGUUGGGAUCAACUGACGGUAAACAACUUUCCCCACUGAAUGCCACGGACAUCUGAUUGUUCUGUACCAAGUCAUAGAUGCUCCGCUGUCCAUGAACCAAUAAAAAGGGGCAAUAAAAAAAAAUAAAAAAAUAAAAAUCAUGUUCAGCUUUGCGAUGUGAAAGUAACACCAAAGACUGAUUUCUGUGGUCUAAUAAGGGUAAAAGAGGUCUUAGUAAACUGACAAAUAAAUGCCAUGUUGUAUGAUACACUACAAUCCUAAGAUCUGAGGUUUGAACAUAUAACAAGAGUUCCUCUCUUCAUAAUUAAAUAUCAGGUUGCUAAGAGUCCUAUUGGGUGAAGGCAGAGUUCGAGGGUGCUGUGGUUGUUUAGGCUUACACGAGAGCGGAUGUGAGUUGUUUGUUCGAACUUCACCAUUGUGCAGAGAGAAGACCCCGAUGCUCAGCCUCUGCCCAUUAUCCCAAACAAGAAAACCAUCCACAAUGGAUUCCAUCUCCCUUUCCAGCCGUUUCUUUACCUUUCAACAUCCCAUUCAUCGUUCAUUAUCCGUACAGUUCCCAAAGCCAAGGGCUCAUGUUGCAGCAAAUACUCUGUGCGCAGUCUUGUUUUCAAAAAAAAGCUGUCAUUCAUCCAAACACUCUUUGGGAUGUUCUCACGUGAUCGUGUUCAGAGAUCUUAGCACUUAUCAACCUAAAUGAGGCUUAUCCUGUUAAAAGGUUAAAAAUACACGGGGAUUUACAUUUCAAAGCAGCCACUCGGUGUCUUAUGAUGUGUUGAAAAACUCAGAUUGAAAACUCUUUCAGAGGAUUUUGUCAGCCUCAACAAGGACUCCGAUAACGAAGAUCAUAAACACCAAUAUUUACAUGUUACAGAGUAUGGGAGAGAGAUGCCCAACCAUAUAAGGCCAGAGACAGAUAGCAUGACGCACCAAUAAAACAAAAUCUCUUGUUUUCCCGCUGAUAGGCUAUCUACAUAACUAGUACAGGUAUACCGAUGAGCUAUGCUGACCUCUCCCUCAUUAGUUAAACAGGCACAGAUAGGGCUCUGAACUGAGUGUGCAUUUCUAUUUAAUAUGCGUGGUGGUCAUGAUUUAAAACAUCUCCUAACUGUGUAAACAAAUCUUGGAUACAGUGUAACUGAAUUGUGCUUGAUAAAGAGGCCACACAUAACGCUUUAUAAAAACAUCAAAACUUUGAGGAAUUAUCUUAAAAGUGGCGAGCUGGAUUAAUUCAACAUCCAUGGCAUACGUUUACAGAACAGAUUAAUCAUCCCCCGCGUUACCACCUAAUCCCACACAUCUGACCUGAAUAGAACAUAGAAUCUGACCAGGGUACAUAAUUAUGAGAUGGUAGAAUAUCAUCCCCAUCCAGUGACCUAUCACCACCGUUAUAAUGAAACAAACUAAAUAGCCAGAAGGCUGACUCGUUGAAUAUGAAUAUGAACAGGAAGGGUAUUCCAGCUGGGAGAAACGAAGUAUGGAAAUAUGCUGGAAAUCAUUAUCUUCUAGAAACGUUCUAGUUAGAGACUGGCCCUGCCUCUGGGACAAACAUACCAAGAAAGUCAAACAAUAGCCCAAUAUGUAGGCAAGAGGAAUUUAUUUCGCAACGAUUCAAACACCUGCUCUCUCACAGAAUGAACGCACGAGUAGACUACCCUCUUUGCCGCACCACACAGCCUACAUUGAAGACACAGUCCGCCAUUCGGUUUCGCGAAAAGUUGUUGAUAUUUGUGCUCAACAGACAAUCAAAUUACACACCUCCCUUCCGUGCACCGUGUUGAUUGGCUGACUGUUUCUGGCUCGGUCCGACCUUCUAUGUUUGUGUCCCAUUUACGCACACCGGCGGGUUUUUUUGGGCCAACACUGAGCAGACAGUUAGAGAACAAUUCACUGAACUUGACUAAAAGGUGUAUGGGAUUAGAAUCCUGGACUGCGCCUCUAACUGAAUCAAACCAAAUGAAUGUGCACAGACUUCCACAAAUAUUGACUGGUGUCUUGUCCACUGUAGUUGCAAAUCCCGUUAUCACAAAUAUGGCAACUAUGUUAUCUAAAUCCCUGCAAAUUCACGAGAGGAGGCUUUGGUGGGACCACAGUCUUAUUAAAGUCGGUGCAGCAAGUUUAAUGACAUAAGUCAGAAAGGUAAGAAAGAAAGUUAUUUUUGAGAACUUGGGGAUUGGAACACAAAAUAUUAGACCACUGGCAGUAGCGGUUGCCUUUAAACCAAAAUAGUUCUAUUUCUGAUUGAUAACAUUUAUGAAUGCCCCAAAAACUGCAACAGGAAAACAUGAUUGUAGCCUAGGCUAUUUCAAUCAAGAUUUAGGUGUGCGCCCCCGUACAAGGACAUUUUAAGUUUAGAAAAGUCACGAUAUCAGAGCAGCCCCGAAGUCAGCUCAUUUGUGUUCAAUUUUUUUUUAUAAUUCGGAUAUGAAACAUCCAAAGUUAAAACUGCCAAGGUGUCGUAAUGUUACAUUAAAGAAUCAUGAAAUUCUAAACUUACCAAAUGUGCUGUUUUGCAGUCACUUCCACUGAAGUUCCGGUAGCACCAUUAUCGGCGUUGAGAUGGUCGCUGCUGUUUUUAAAAGAAGUUUUCAACAAUUCCUGAGCGGCAGUAGACAAACUAUUGCUUGCUUUAUCAGAGAGAGUAUCACCAGUUAAUGAGUCGCUUUGUUGAAUAUGAUGCGUUUGUUGUAACAAAGUAGCCUGAACGGCACCGGGCGAGGAAACAGACAAGAAAUGCAGCUGCGCUGAUAUCGGAGCUGUCCCGGUCUCGGGAGAUAGGAGCAGCACCUCGGGUUUAUCAAGAUCCACACUUCUCACUUUCCGCAGCUCUUUACGUCUCCAUUGUGCAUUUUCCCCGGUGCUUCUCUUCGCCUUCCCGGGACUACUUGGGAGACCUGGGGUAGACACACUUCCCUGAGGUCCGCUUCCGACGUUUGUGCCGUUAUUCGGCUCUACAGAUCCGGACGACGAGGACGAGGUCCGGCUCCCCGCCGUCGCCAUUUUCUGUCCUGAAUUUUGCCACUUAAUAGGUUCUAUGG
ensembl:lncRNA